CCCACGUCUCAUUCAGCCCAAGCGGACACAGAGAUGGGGGCCUAGAGCGCCCGUUUCCUGGGGAACCCCCCAGUUCACUGUGCGUGUCGUGCAGUGCAUUGUGGGAUAUCCAGAGGUGUCGCCACACAGCAUGGAUCUUCUGGGAAUGCAGUCCACACUCCAAGCAACAUUUCAGCGAUCAUUGGGGUGGUGGAGAGAUGAGUUAGAUCAGCCUCCCACCCCACUGCCUACCCGGUCAUGCGAAUGUCCCCAAUGUCUGAACAAGUCUAAGGAGUCAAAUUGGCAGAACAAGGUGACUUGUGUUGUUGUGAAAAGAGAAAGAGCACUCCAAGGAAAUAAUCUGACUAGGCCAGCAGUGGCGAGAAGAUCAUGUGGGGAGACAAGUUGUGUUUGGGCUCUGGGGUGGGCCAGGCUUGGCUUUUGAAGCUGUCUUGGUCUCCAUAAAGCUUGUUUAUCCUCCGCUUUCCUGUUCGCUCCUUGACUUAAGAAGACAGCAUCCAGCGAAAACAAACAGCCAUUACAUCCAGGUACCAUUAAGGGCCUGCUUUGAAUCCACAAACACAACAGAGUUUCUGUCUUUUCUCUCGUUAACUGGAAACUCCAUCCUGAAGUCAUUUGUCUGAGCACUGUGACAAAUGCUGCCGGUGAGAUCACCACCUCCCGUGGGCCUGAACCCCACAAACAAUUGCAAAAAAUAAACAUUGUUUUUAGGACCCGCAAAGGAUAGGAUUUCAACUGUAACUCUCUUGUGUUGUUUUUGAAGCUUGCCACUCCUCCCUUGUUUAAGUUAAUGCCUUGUCUUGAGCCAGCGCCCAUGAAGAGGGAGAUAAUAGAGAGCAGCUUCCAGACGCUGACAAACACACACACUGUAAUGGGGCCGCUUGGAGGCCUACAAGGCUCUGUUCUCCCAGGUGUUACCAGUUCAAAGGAGAGGGUGAGGUCCUGGAUCCAUUAAAGAUCUGUUGAGAUUAUCUGUGAUCAAAUCAUCAGCGCCUUCAUUGUAGUCUCAAUGGAAGAGGUGACCAACGUCCCCGAAGUUAAUCUGAUUAAUCUGGGCAGUUUACACCUUUAAAAAAAAGAGUCUUCAACAGUUAAACAAACAUUAAGAAACUGGUCAUGGGGAUGAGUAAGCAGGAACUACAGCUGUCUUGCCCAGACAUGAAAGUAUGUCUUCAGAGACACAAUUGUCUUAAGAAGCACAUCCUUGCUGAUACGCUUACCUGGAAAUCUUUUUCUGAAUUUGGUUCAGAAUCAUUAUCAACAAACUCGAAAUUCAGAAGUCUUCCAAAGGAGAAAAAAACAAAGACAUGAUACUCCCUCACCUCCUCAGAAUUUAGUUCAGCGUCAAGAUAAUGCUUUGAACUUGUGAAGUGAAGAUGAAUGGCUUUACACUGGUACUUCCUGAUAAAUAAAGAAAAUUGAGAUGGGAAA